rnacentral:rRNA from 1 species
AUACGGAGGGUGCAAGCGUUACUCGGAAUCACUGGGCGUAAAGCGCGCGCAGGCGGUCUUUUAAGUUGGAUGUGAAAGCCUACGGCUCAACCGUAGAACUGCAUCCAAAACUGUCGGGCUAGAGUCUGGGAGGGGAAGAUGGAAUUAGUUGUGUAGGGGUAAAAUCCGUAGAGAUAACUAGGAAUACCAAAAGCGAAGGCGAUCUUCUGGAACAGUACUGACGCUGAGGCGCGAAAGCGUGGGGAGCAAACAGGAGUAGAAACCCUAGUAGUCC